rnacentral:rRNA from 1 species
GAUCAUGGCUCAGGAUGAACGCUGGCGGCGUGCCUAAUACAUGCAAGUCGAACGAGGGUGCUUGCACCCUAGUGGCGAACGGGUGAGUAACACGUAGGUAACCUGCCCUUAAGCUUGGGAUACCCAGAGGAAACUUUGGCUAAUACCGGAUAACAACAGAAGAGGCAUCUCUUCAGUUUGAAAGGCCCUUUACGGGGUCACUUAAGGAUGGACCUGCGGCGCAUUAGCUAGUUGGUGAGAUAACAGCCCACCAAGGCGAGGAUGCGUAGCCGACCUGAGAGGGUGAUCGGCCACAUUGGAACUGAGACACGGUCCAAACUCCUACGGGAGGCAGCAGUAAGGAGUUUUCGGCAAUGGGGGAAACCCUGACCGAGCAACGCCGCGUGAGUGAAUGACGGCCCUAUGGGUUGUAAAGCUCUGUUGUAAGGGACGAAUGAUUCGCUUAGGAAAUGAAGCGGAUUUGACGGUACCUUACCAGAAAGCCACGGCUAACUACGUGCCAGCCGCAGC